rnacentral:pre_miRNA from 1 species
GCCUCCUGUACCUACUGAGCUGAAACACAGUUGAUUUGUGCAGACUGGCUCAGUUCAGCAGGAACAGGGGU